rnacentral:rRNA from 1 species
CCUACGGGUGGCAGCAGUGAGGAAUAUUGGUCAAUGGUCGGGAGACUGAACCAGCCAAGCCGCGUGAGGGAUGAAGGUACAGAGUAUCGUAAACCUCUUUUGUCAGGGAACAAAUGCGGGGACGUGUCCCCGGAUGAGUGUACCUGAAGAAAAAGCAUCGGCUAACUCCGUGCCAGCAGCCGCGGUAAUACGGGGGAUGCGAGCGUUAUCCGGAUUUAUUGUGUUUAACGGGUGCGCAGGCGGUCUGUUAAGUCAGCGGUAAAAGCCCGGGGCUCAACCCCGGCCCGCCGUUGAAACUGGCAGUCUCGAGUUGGAGAGAAGUAUGCGGAAUGCGCGGUGUAGCGGUGAAAUGCAUAGAUAUCGCGCAGAACUCCGAUUGCGAAGGCAGCAUGCCGGCUCCACACUGACGCUGAGGCACGAAAGCGUGGGUAUCGAACAGGAUUAGAUACCCUUGUAGUC